UGUCGUUGCCGCUAGCACGGUUCAGCUGUUUCAGCGUUCGGGCUGUUGGCUCCCAGCGGCUGCCUCCUCUUUCCCUCCCCAAUGCCCGCUCGGCUCUGGUAACUGCACAGCGGACUUAAUUCCUACAGAAGGCAGAAAACAGUAAAACUGCCUCUGAACUCCACCAAAUGAACUGCCAUGAACUCAGCUCCACUGCACUGACUCUCAACUGAUUCCCAGAUCACUGGAUCAACUGACCUAACUGACUAGAACUCAGACAUCUGCAUGCCUCUAUCUCCUGAGUGCUGGGAUUAAAGGGAGUGAAGGAGUAUUUGUAUUCCAACUGGUUCACACAGUCCUAGAAGGUCUUUGGAUAUGAUUCCCGAGCCAGAGCAACCAUGUUACUGAAUUAAAACUCCUUGACACCAUCAUUUUUUUAAGUUCAAUUAUAAGGCUGAGAAGAGAACAAAACUACUGGAGUGAAAAUUUGCCAGAAAGACUCAAAGA